UCACUUGUUCUGUUAAAGGAUAUCAUCUCCCUUUACUUUACUAUUGCGUAUGCUUCCUUUUCUAGCUGGAUCGAGCAACCACAGUAAGAAAAGAAGUUGUAUCAAAUGCAUUCUGCACUAGCAGGUUCAUAUGUCUGACAUGCCUUUUUUCAUUAGAACUUGCAAGUGGACAUCUAAAAGUUAAACAUUCAUCAUUGUUCUAAAAUAUUACCUAUUUUAGUUCUUUCUUAACCAUUACUUCAUCUCAGGUUGUAUUCAAUUCUCUUACACAGGGGUAAUCUCUUAUUUAGAUUGACAAUUGAGAAAUCCCGGAUUGCAAUAGAAGCAUGAAAUGGAAGUAAGCUAUAAAUUCUGUACAUGUAGAAACACUAUGAAGAGCUGUAUUUUCUGUGAUAUUUGAUAUUUCCAGCGGCAUGCUUGAUUUAAUUUGUUAAUGUGAUAGUUUGCUAAUCUGAACAGUGCAUACUAGAUACUUUGCACUGGCUUCCUGCUUUCCCUCACAUAUGGUCAGAAUCUUUACUUGUUAAGCUACCCCAGUCGUAAUGGUCAAUUGAUGCUGGUUAUUAUGGACAACAUCUUGCACAAAUGGAACACUCAGAUAUAUGCCAUAUUUUGGUUUUACUUUUGUGCUUUGUUUGGAAUUCAAACUAAUUUACAUUUUUAUAUUAUUAUUAAGUUAGCCACACUGGACAUUUCUUGGAUUAUAUUGUUACUCAUGAUUUGCCUUCCUUUGUUUGAGAUUGGUCUUCAACGACAUGUCUGUUCACAUCAAUAGAUGUGUCUACCAAAAUUGGAGUAUGUGGUUCAGAUUAGCUGAGGAUCUUGCCGAGCAGCAUGCAUCGGUCGUACUUGGAGAUAAGUUCAGAUUUGGCAUGACGUUUUCUGUCGUCGCGUGACUAACCUUUUUUUCCAACGGUUAUUAAUUUUAAAGAAGCUUUGCAAGUGCCUUCGGCAACUCCUUAUGGGUACUUACAUGCAAUUCACAUUCUUCACCGAGAUGUGAAGGUGAUUUUGGGGUUUGCCAAGUAUCCACCGUCGGAGAUGAGGAGUGUGGUGCGUGGUGCAUCAGGUGUGGAUGCAGCAAUCAAGACCACAUGCUCGGCUUAGGGAGCAGCAGCGCACACAUAAACAUCGGUUGAUGUCAAGGCGCCCAGGAGGAAAUCGGUUAUGUCUCCAUGGACACGGUUGGUGUAAGAUACAUGACCACUUUCUCAUCCGCCUCAACUUCCAGUUCAUGGGUGCCAACGUCAUCAGCACUCUUUACUUGGAAGUCGCACACGUUGAAAGAGUUACAUGUACUGGUCGUGCUUGUUCUCAUCUCCAGCUACGGCCGCAGCUAUGGCGGUCUCAUCACCAUAUGUUUUACUAGGUACAGUUUGUGCUUGCUUUUCUCAUUUUUUUUAUGUAUAUACCUAUGAAUAUUUGCUCAAGAGGAACUUGUAGAACUCUCUCUCUCUCGCUCUCUCUCUCCAUACGUCACUAAGGAUUAUUUGGUUUGUCAGUAGCUUGCAACAUCAAUAAUGUGAAUCUUCAGCAAUGUUGUUUCAACUCAUGAUGCUGCAUGUUUGAGAUUCAGGAAAGCGGGUUGAGUAUGUGUUUCAUAUUUUUUGAGUGAAAGAUCAAAACAUUAGCGUGCAUAUCAGGUGAGGAAAUUUUAUUAGGCCAUAUGUGCGCAGCGCAACUGUCGUUUUCCAUCACGGUUAGGUAUUUACUCCAAUUUAUUGAGCAGGUAUUAACUGAAUUCUUUAUGUACAUAGGGGAAAGAAAUCAUAUGUUGUACUUUUUUUGUAUUAAGCAUUCUUCAUGGCUGUAAGAUUUUUUUAGUUUAGUCAUGGUGUUGUUUGGGACUUUGGGUUCCCAGAGCAGCUCGUUUACACGAGCCUUGCAUAAUAAUUUUUGUAUUAGGGCAGAUGCUAACUAUUUAAAUGUGCUAUCAUAGCUCGUGGUGUAUUUUUUUGGGUUUGCAACUCCUUGAUAAUAGAACACCAACUUCCUAGGUUCAUAUGAAAUUCUAUUUGGGCACAAGGCUGAUGCCUUUAUUCCUCUCUUGGUUUAUAUGAUUUUUUCUCUUGGUUUUUAUUUGCACGGAAGCAUAAGGCAUAUAUCUUAUACCUUUUUUUACUAUAUUAGUAUGGUUGCACACUGCCACGAAGCUCCUUAGCCUUUUGGAUCUAAUUGUAGAUUUAUAUGUUUGUUUUCUGCUACAACUCUGGAACUAACUAAUGGAUUUACCCAUGUAUCUCUCCAUGUGAUUGUUCACCUAUUCUAUAGUUUUUUUUUGUAAGGGUUUUGCUUCAGUGUCCCCCCGCCGCCCUCUUCAAACAUUGUGCUUUGUGGAUGGCCCCGGUAUCAACCCCCUCAACUUUGGUCGUGGAUGGGGGUAGAGGGUGGGGCACGGAGCACACCUCAUCCUAAUUUCAUCCCAGCGACAACGUUUUGUGAAACUAAGAAUGUUUAAUCAAGUUGGUAGUUAAUUUUUAUCGAACUUAUAUAAAAUGUACACCGGCACGAGUUCCACGGGAUCGUGCGCCAAGGCUCACAUCUCGCACACAGCGAAAUUAUUCACCACUCAUCCGCCUUAGUCUCCUUAUGCCAGGUGAGUUCAGACUUGCGAAUUCAUGGAUUUUGAUCAAUGUAUGGCAUUUAGCCAAUUAAAAUUUAUCAAACACUAUUACCAGUUAGGGAAUAGUUGUAAAUUGCAUCAGAGGAGGAUUUUUGUCGGAAAUAUUGUGUUCCUAUUUAGACAUUAGUUUAUGGAUAGUGAAAUAACAAAUCUUUGUUCUAUCAACUCCAAUAUGAACUGCUCUUUUAUAUCCAAAGAGUCAUAUGUCCAAAGGUUUCAAAAGAUUGUGGCCCUUCCUUCUGUAGUGGGCCUGUAAAUAUGACUAAGUUCCUGUUGUGGCGAUGCUCCUGUGCACCUUGUAUGGAAUUUUCUUAUACCAUUCCUUGUGCUUUCUGUGUGCGAAGGACUUUUGGUUCAUAAUGUUAUAAAUGGUUUGCUAAAUUAUGUACUUUUUUUUAUCCAUGUGUACAUUUCUGAAGAAAUAGAUUGUUGUAAGUUCACCACUGUCUACCUGUAAACAUAUCGUAUCUAUUACAUAUUCGUUCUACUUGUCUCAUAGUUUUUUCUG